rnacentral:rRNA from 1 species
AUUGAACGCUGGCGGCAGGCCUAACACAUGCAAGUCGAACGGUAACAGGAAACAGCUUGCUGUUUCGCUGACGAGUGGCGGACGGGUGAGUAAUGUCUGGGAAACUGUCUGAUGGAGGGGGAUAACUACUGGAAACGGUAGCUAAUACCGCAUAACGUCGCAAGACCAAAGAGGGGGACCUUCGGGCCUCUUGCCAUUGGAUGUGCCCAGAUGGGAUUAGCUAGUAGGUGGGGUAACGGCUCACCGAGGCGACGAUCCCUAGCUGGUCUGAGGGGAUGACCAGCCACACUUGAACUGUGACACGGUCCAGACUCCUACGGGUAGCAGCAGUGUGGAAGAUUGCACAUUGGGAGCAAUCCUGAUGCAGCCAUGUCACGUGUAUGAAGAAGGCCUUCGGGUUGUAAAGUACUUUCAGCGGGGAGGAAGGGAGUAAAGUUAAUACCUUUGCUCAUUGACGUUACCCGCAGAAGAAGCACCGGCUAACUCCGUGCCAGCCGCCGCAGUAA